rnacentral:tRNA from 2 species
GCGGGGGUACCCAAGCGGUCAAAGGGGCAGGUCUCAGAAACCUGUGGCUUAGUGCCUUCCUGGGUUCGAAUCCCAGCCCCCGCA